GCUAAGUUUAACAUAUAGUCGAUGCUCCCUUAAGGUCAUCAAUACUUGCCUUGUUCAUGCUCCAAAUAUGACUUUGCAGUUAAAUUCUAUGUCUAUUCAUGUAUUGUUUGAUUCGGGUGCCACACACUCAUUUGUUGCAAAUAAACUUAUGGGGGGAUUAGGGAGAAAUCCUUGUAGAAUAGAAAAUAGGUUUAUUAUAAGCACUUCAUUAAGUGAAACUGUGAAUGUUGAUCAUAUGUAUAAAGGGGUCCAGAUUAAUAUAGGUGGUUGUG
rnacentral:lncRNA from 1 species